rnacentral:rRNA from 1 species
GACUCCUACGGGAGGCAGCAGUGGGGAAUAUUGCACAAUGGGGGAAACCCUGAUGCAGCCAUGCCGCGUGUGUGAAGAAGGCCUUCGGGUUGUAAAGCACUUUCAGCGAGGAGGAAAGGGUGUAAGUUAAUACCUUACAUCUGUGACGUUACUCGCAGAAGAAGCACCGGCUAACUCCGUGCCAGCAGCCGCGGUAAUACGGAGGGUGCGAGCGUUAAUCGGAAUUACUGGGCGUAAAGCGUGCGCAGGCGGUUUGUUAAGCGAGAUGUGAAAGCCCCGGGCUCAACCUGGGAACCGCAUUUCGAACUGGCAAACUAGAGUCUUGUAGAGGGGGGUAGAAUUCCAGGUGUAGCGGUGAAAUGCGUAGAGAUCUGGAGGAAUACCGGUGGCGAAGGCGGCCCCCUGGACAAAGACUGACGCUCAGGCACGAAAGCGUGGGGAGCAAACAGGAUUAGAUACCCUGGUAGUCCACGCCGUAAACGAUGUCUACUCGGAGUUUGGUGUCUUGAACACUGGGCUCUCAAGCUAACGCAUUAAGUAGACCGCCUGGGGAGUACGGCCGCAAGGUUAAAACUCAAAUGAAUUGACGGGGGCCCGCACAAGCGGUGGAGCAUGUGGUUUAAUUCGAUGCAACGCGAAGAACCUUACCUACUCUUGACAUCCACAGAACUUUUCAGAGAUGAAUUGGUGCCUUCGGGAACUGUGAGACAGGUGCUGCA